rnacentral:rRNA from 1 species
GAAUAUGGGGGGACCAUCCUCCAAGGCUAAAUACUCCUGACUGACCGAUAGUGAACCAGUACCGUGAGGGAAAGGCGAAAAGAACCCCGGCGAGGGGAGUGAAAAAGAACCUGAAACCGUGUACGUACAAGCAGUGGGAGCACGCUUAGGCGUGUGACUGCGUACCUUUUGUAUAAUGGGUCAGCGACUUAUAUUCUGUAGCAAGGUUAACCGAAUAGGGGAGCCGAAGGGAAACCGAGUCUUAACUGGGCGUUAAGUUGCAGGGUAUAGACCCGAAACCCGGUGAUCUAGCCAUGGGCAGGUUGAAGGUUGGGUAACACUAACUGGAGGACCGAACCGACUAAUGUUGAAAAAUUAGCGGAUGACUUGUGGCUGGGGGUGAAAGGCCAAUCAAACCGGGAGAUAGCUGGUUCUCCCCGAAAGCU